GACGAACGCUGGCGGCGUGCCUAAUACAUGCAAGUUGAGCGCUGAAGGUUGGUACUUGUACCAACUGGAUGAGCAGCGAACGGGUGAGUAACGCGUGGGGAAUCUGCCUUUGAGCGGGGGACAACAUUUGGAAACGAAUGCUAAUACCGCAUAAAAACUUUAAACACAAGUUUUAAGUUUGAAAGAUGCAAUUGCAUCACUCAAAGAUGAUCCCGCGUUGUAUUAGCUAGUUGGUGAGGUAAAGGCUCACCAAGGCGAUGAUACAUAGCCGACCUGAGAGGGUGAGCGGCCACAAUGGGACUGAGACACGGCCCAAACGCCUACUGGAGGCAGCAGUAGGGAAACUUCGGCAAUGGACGAAAGUCUGACCGAGCAACGCCGCGUGAGUGAAGAAGGUUUUCGGAUCGUAAAACUCUGUUGGUAGAGAAGAACGUUGGUGAGAGUGGAAAGCUCAUCAAGUGACGGUAACUACCCAGAAAGGGACGGCUAACUACGUG
rnacentral:rRNA from 1 species